rfam:Pelotomaculum thermopropionicum SI DNA, complete genome.
UAAGCCCCACCAGGGUAAUGUCUAACCAGCAGCCCUGUAGCUAGUUCUUGGAGACAUUCAGGCAACUGAAAGUUUUAAGCGUAGGACGGCAAAAUAGCGGGCCGAAAGCAAAAGCUGAAGUGAUUGAGCCUCGAAAUAUUAGUCGAGAAUGGCCGAUGUGGUUACACACACAGAAGGCAAUAUUGUAUGGUGAGUCCCUACUGACGCUCCGGGGUCUAAGAGCU